AGGGCCUAAACCUUCUAGAGUUUGACACUGUAUGGCUAUACAGGAAGGACAGGAAACACUGGAUGUGGUUUAAUCAAGAAGGCCUCAUCUCUCCUUUCUUUAGCUCCUGCACAAAAGCUUCAAAUUCAAAUUCAAAUUCUUUAGGUGUAUUUUAGUAAUUACCAUACACAAUUAUAAAAAAAAUGUAGUUAAACUUGUAGAAGGAGCCACUCUCAUUAGGAAACAUGCAGUCAUAACAGACAGCGCCAAAGUAACCCUGAACACAUUUAGCAAAAUCUACUACACUUUUGUUAUAAGACCACUAUCUUUCAGCAACUGAUUUUCACUGAUUCCUCGCAUGGCUUUUCUUUCUGUUUCUUCUUCAGCUGUCCCUAAACUUCAUUUUGCUAAUGUAUGUUUUUCCCCCCUGAAAAAAUCAGGUGGACCAAAUGCAUUUCUACUUUUUUUACCAAGCUAUUAGAAAGCUGCAAAAAGCUAUUAGGGAGUUCCUAACUCUGGCAAACAAAUCCUCACAGGCUCUUUAAAAAAAAAAUCCAGGUCCAACCCUGCCUGCCUAUCUGUUUGUCAGGUUCACAGAGACCUGCCUCAAAAGAAAAAAAAAUCCGUAUUAUGUAGGAGGAACAGACCAUCUGCAGUGGGCUCAGAGAGACAAUUAAAAAAAAAAAAAAAAGGAGGCGGAAGAUCUGCGGCUACAUUCGCAGUCACUGAAGACCCUGAGACCCAGGAACUGGCAGAGAGUGAGAGAGAGAGAGAGAGAGAGAGAGAGAGAGAGACUGUGGGUGAAACUGGAAGCAGGAUGUACAAGAAUUGUCACUGCACAAGGAAAAAUUCUAAAAAAGUACAACAGUGUCAAGAUCCGAGAAAGCAUGAUAAAAAAGUGAAAUAAGAACUUAUGAAGUUUUCCAGAAGAUCUACUACCCCUACGCUGGCUAAGGUAGAAAGACGGACAAGGAAGUCUGAAAAAAGCAUGUCAUCUGAAUAUUUCACUAAGAUCAGGAAGGAGCUGGAUGUUUCAUCAGCAAAUAACCGGAUAUGAAGGCUAAGGGCUGAGCUUCCUUCUGUUUAAAAAAAAAAAAAGACCUAAGGGGGAAAAUAAAGUGCCAUUCAACAAAGAAGCUACAGUGUAAUCAAUGAAGGCAAGACUGGCACAAGUCCUAGAACAUUUGCAUUCAGAAAUAAACGCCGUGAUCGACCUUUGUCUGGUUUUAAACAGACUGGUGAAGGGAGGAGUAGACUUGAGAGGGAGGGAGAAUGAACCCCCACAAAAAAUUAAUAACUGUACUGCAUCCUUAAUAACCUGCAACUGAUCAUUUAAAAUUAAUCUGAACCUUGAUGGUCCAAUAUGUAUUGCAGGUUAAAAAUAAAUGAAUACAUAG